CAAGAAGAUGAUCACCGAGUGGCAUGAAGUGCCUUUUGAUGCACAUAGGAUGCACCUCCCUUUUGAAGGGAGCUACCAUUGUGUUAUUCUACACAAUCGGCCUGCCGAAGUUCUGCUCCCCUGCAUAUAUGUUUUAUAUAUGAAAUAAAGAAGAUAUUUGACUGAAGCAAAAGACCGGAUCCGUGUAUCCUGUGGACUACUUUGGACUCGGUGGAUUAUGUCGAUGACCAGCAUUUUAUUUUUUUUUUUUUUGUUUAAUGUUAGUAAAAUGGUUGUGGGGG